rnacentral:rRNA from 1 species
GCCUAUGGCCAUGCCACUCUGAACACACCCAAUCUCCUCUGAUCUUGGAAGCUAAGCAGGACUGGGCCUGGUUAGUACUUGGAUGGGAGGUGAACUUACUUCCCUAGAGCAAGAGUAGUGAAGAUG